rnacentral:rRNA from 1 species
UAGGGAAUCUUCCGCAAUGGACGCAAGUCUGACGGAGCAACGCCGCGUGAGUGAAGAAGGAUUUCGGUUCGUAAAACUCUGUUGUUAGAGAAGAACAGCGCAUAGAGUAACUGUUAUGCGUGUGACGGUAUCUAACCAGAAAGCCACGGCUAACUACGUGCCAGCAGCCGCGGUAAUACGUAGGUGGCAAGCGUUGUCCGGAUUUAUUGGGCGUAAAUCGAGCGCAGGCGGUCAAUUAAGUCUGAUGUGAAAGCCCCCGGCUCAACCGGGGAGGGUCAUUGGAAACUGGUUGACUUGAGUGCAGAAGAGGAAAGUGGAAUUCCAUGUGUAGCGGUGAAAUGCGCAGAGAUAUGGAGGAACGCCAGUGGCGAAGGCGACUUUCUGGUCUGUAACUGACGCUGAUGUGCGAAAGCGUGGGGAUCAAACAGG